GAAGUUGGCUUGGCUCAGAUAGGUCCUAAGCCAAAGGAUACUAUGGGCUUCACUCAUCUAAACAAAGCAUAGGUCUUCUGCUUUGUUCUUCAGCAAGUACACAAGUGCAAACAGCAGGGCCUCCUGUGAGUACCCAGGACAGGAUAUGACACAACCAUAAAGAUCUGCAUGGACCUCAUUGUGCUGAGGAGCCUUGAGGGCAUCUGCAACAGAGGCAACAGAAACAGUCAUACCAUGCAUCAGUUGGUAUUCUUCCUCACCUAACUUCCUCCUUUUACCACCUCUCCCUUCCUUAUCAUCAGAACUCUUAGAGGUGUCCAGCCCAUUAGAGGGUACAUUUUGCUUACCAGAAUCACCCUCAUUCCCAUCUAAAUUAAUUGUCUCUGAUCUAAUAUCUCCC
rnacentral:lncRNA from 1 species